rnacentral:rRNA from 1 species
UACGUAGGGUGCGAGCGUUAAUCGGAAUUACUGGGCGUAAAGGGCUCGUAGGCGGCCAACUAAGUCAGACGUGAAAUCCCUCGGCUUAACCGGGGAACUGCCUCUGAUACUGGAUGGCUUGAGAUUGGGAGAGGGAUGCGGAAUUCCAGGUGUAGCGGUGAAAUGCGUAGAUAUCUGGAGGAACACCGGUGGCGAAGGCGGCAUCCUGGACCAACACUGACGCUGAGGAGCGAAAGCCAGGGGAGCAAACGGG